rnacentral:rRNA from 1 species
AUAUUGCACAAUGGGCGCAAGCCUGAUGCAGCGACGCCGCGUGAGGGAUGACGGCUUUCGGGUUGUAAACCUCUUUCGGCAGGGAAGAAGCGCAAGUGACGGUACCUGCAGAAGAAGCGCCGGCUAACUACGUGCCAGCAGCCGCGGUAAUACGUAGGGCGCAAGCGUUGUCCGGAAUUAUUGGGCGUAAAGAGCUCGUAGGCGGUCAGUCGCGUCUGCUGGGAAAACUCGAGGCUCAACCUCGGGCUUGCAGUGGGUACGGGCUGACUAGAGUGCGGUAGGGGUGACUGGAAUUCCUGGUGUAGCGGUGGAAUGCGCAGAUAUCAGGAGGAACACCGAUGGCGAAGGCAGGUCACUGGGCCGCAACUGACGCUGAGGAGCGAAAGCAUGGGGAGCGAACAGG